GAUGAACGCUAGCGGCAGGCCUAAUACAUGCAGGUCGAGGGGUAUGGGUUGCUUGCAACCCAGAGACCGGCGCACGGGUGCGUAACGCGUAUGCAAUCUACCUUAAUCAGGGGGAUAGCCCGGAGAAAUCCGGAUUAACACCGCAUAACAUUGAGUUGUGGCAUCACAGUUCAAUCAAAUAUUUAUAGGAUUAAGAUGAGCAUGCGUGACAUUAGUUAGUUGGUGAGGUAACGGCUCACCAAGACCACGAUGUCUAGGGGAUCUGAGAGGAUGACCCCCCACACUGGUACUGAGACACGGACCAGACUCCUACGGGAGGCAGCAGUAAGGAAUAUUGGUCAAUGGGCGCAAGCCUGAACCAGCCAUGCCGCGUGCAGGAAGACGGCCCUAUGGGUUGUAAACUGCUUUUGUACCGGAAUAAACCUUCUCUUGCGAGAGAAGCUGAACGUACGGUAAGAAUAAGGAUCGGCUAACUCCGUG
rnacentral:rRNA from 1 species